CCUACGGGAGGCAGCAGUGAGGAAUAUUGGUCAAUGGACGAGAGUCUGAACCAGCCAAGUAGCGUGAAGGAUGACUGCCCUAUGGGUUGUAAACUUCUUUUAUAUGGGAAUAAAACGUUCCACGUGUGGGAUUUUGUAUGUACCAUAUUAAUAAGGAUCGGCUAACUCCGUGCCAGCAGCCGCUGUAAUACGGCGGAUCCGAGCGUUAUCCGUAUUGAUUGGGUUUAAAGGGAGCGUAGGGGGAUUGUUAAGUCAGUUGUUAAAGUUUGCGGCGCAACCGUAAAAUUGCAGUUGAAACUGGCAGUCUUGAGUACAAUAGAGGUGGGCGGAAUUCGUGGUGUAGCUGUGAAAUGCUUAGAUAUCACGAAGAACUCCGAUGGCGAAGGCAGUUCACUGGACUGCAACUGACACUGAGGCUCGAAAGUGUGGGUAUCAAACAGGAUUAGAUACCCCUGUAGUC
rnacentral:rRNA from 1 species